CUGCCCAGAAGCGGGGGAUAACACCUGGAAACAGAUGCUAAUACCGCAUAACAACUUGGACCGCAUGGUCCGAGUUUGAAAGAUGGCUUCGGCUAUCACUUUUGGAUGGUCCCGCGGCGUAUUAGCUAGAUGGUGGGGUAACGGCUCACCAUGGCAAUGAUACGUAGCCGACCUGAGAGGGUAAUCGGCCACAUUGGGACUGAGACACGGCCCAAACUCCUACGGGAGGCAGCAGUAGGGAAUCUUCCACAAUGGACGAAAGUCUGAUGGAGCAACGCCGCGUGAGUGAAGAAGGGUUUCGGCUCGUAAAACUCUGUUGUUAAAGAAGAACAUAUCUGAGAGUAACUGUUCAGGUAUUGACGGUAUUUAACCAGAAAGCCACGGCUAACUACGUGCCAGCAGCCGCGGUAAUACGUAGGUGGCAAGCGUUGUCCGGAUU
rnacentral:rRNA from 1 species